UUGCAGGCCUGGAGGGAGUGGCAUGACAUGGCAAGUACAAAAAGAAAAACCUAUAGAGAAGUAUACUCUAUCCAGGAAGGCUACAAUUCUGAAUAGGGGAGAUAAAGUUUCCUAGACAAACAAAAUUGAAAAGAAAUUCAUCACCACUAAACCACUUCUACAAAAAAAGUUAAAGAGGACUCUUUGAGUGGAAAGGAAAGAAAGACCAGGGGUACGGAAAGGAAAGGACUGGAAUGUAGGAGUAAGAAAAGUAGGAAGCUCAAACGCAUAAAAAGAAACUUAGCUAUAAAAAUCAGUCGAGGGAUUCACAAAAUAAAAGGAUGUAAAGUAUCUGACAUAUACCUAAAAUAUGAGUGGGGAAAAGAGUAAAGAAUGUGUUCCUAUGUAAGCGACUAUCAACUUAAUGUAGAUUGCUAUAUGCGGGAGAUGUUACAUACAAAUAUAAUGGUAGCCACAAAUCAAAGUCUAGUAAUAGAUAUGCAAAGAAUGAAGAGAAAGGAAUCCCAGUGUAUCACUAAAGAAAACCACAAAACUUUGGGAUGAAAGAACAUGAGAAGAAAGAAACAGAGGACUACAAACAGAAAUGCAGAACAAAUAACAAAAUGGUAAUAAGUUACAUACCUAUGUAUAAUUCCUGUGAGUGUAAAUGGACUAAAUGCUCCAGUCAAAAGACAUAGGGUGCUGAAAUGGAGAAAAAAGCAAGACCCAUCAUAUGCUGCCCAUAAGAGACUCACUUUAGAUCUAAAGACACAUGUAGAUUGAAAGUGGAGGAUUGGAGAAGCAUUGAUCAUACAAAUGGAAGUGAAAAGAAAGUUGAGGUAGCAAUACUUCUGUCAGAGCAAAGACGGUAACACAAGACAAAGGAGGACACUACAUAGUCAUCCUGGGAACAAUCUAAGGAGAAAAUAGAACAAUUGUAAAUAUGUAUGCACCCAUCAUGGCAGCACACAAAUACAUAAGGCAGGUAAUAACAAACAUAAAAGAAGUAAUCAAUAGUAAUACAAUAAUAGUAAAGGCUUUCAUACACCACUUACAUGAAUGGAUAGAUCAUCCAAAUAGAAAAUCAAAGAAGAAACAGUGGCCUUGAAUGACACAUUGGACCAGAUGGAUCUAACAGAUAUAUUCAGAACAUGCCAUCCAAAAACAGCAGAAUACACAUAGUUUUCAUGUGCACGUGGAACAUUCUCCAGAAUAGGUCACAUAUUAGGCCACAAAACAAGUCUCAACAAAUUCAAAAAGAUCAAAAUCAUACAGUGCAUCUUUUCUGAUCACAACACUGUGACAACUAGAAAUCAAUCACAAUAAAAAAGUCUUGAAAGAACACAAAUACAUGGAGGUUAAAUAGCAUGCUGCUAAACAAUAAAUGGGUUAACCAAGAAAUCCAAGAAGAAACAAACAAACAAAAAAAUACAUGGAGACAAAUGAAAAUGAAAAGACGGUGCUCCAAAAUCUUUGGAAUGCAGCAGAAGUGGUUCUAAGGGAAUUUUAUACCAAUACAGGCCUACCUCAAGAAACAAGGAAAAUCUCAAAUAAGCAACCCAACCUUAUACCUGAAGCAUCUGGUAGAAGAAGACCAGAGAAAACCCAAAUCCAGCAGAAGGAAAGAAAUAAUAAUGAUUAGAGCAGAAAUAAAUGAUAUAGAAACUAUAAAACAAAACAAAACAAAACAAAAAAAGGAGAACAACAAUGAAACCAGAAACUGCUUCUUUGGAAAGAACAAAAUUGAUAAGCCUUUAGCUGGACUUAUCCCCAUCCCUGAAAAAUGAGGACUCAAUAAACAAAACAGGAGGGACGCCUAGUUGUCUCAGUUGGGUAAGUGCCAGACUUCACUCAGGUGGUGAUUUCUGACUUUGUGAGUUUGAGCCCUGCACCGGUCUCUGUGUGGACUGCUCAGAGCCUGGAGCCUGCUUCACAAUCUGUGUCUCCCUCUCUCUUGCAUCCCCCCCCCAACUCACACUCUGUCUCUCUCUGUAUCUCAAAAAUAAAGAAAACGAAUUAAAAAAAUAAACAAAACAGGAAAUGAAAGAGAAAUACCUGAUACCACAGAAAUAUCUGUGGUACAGAUUAUAAGAGAAUAUUAUGAAAAACUGUAUGCCAACAAGUUGGGGAACCUAGAAGAAAUGGAGAAAGUCUUAGAAAUGUAUAUCCUCCCCAGACUGAAUCAGGAAGAAAUAGAAAAUUUGAACAGACUGAUUACCAGAUAUAAAAUGGAAUCAUUAAUCAAAAAACUCCCAACAAACAAAAGUCCAGGACCAGUAGCCUUCACAGGCAAUUUUGUCAAACAUUCAAAGAUGACUUAAGACCUAUUCUUCUCAAACUAUUCUGAGAAAUAGAGGAGGAGGGAGAUUCCAAAUUCCUUCUAUGAGGCCAGCAUUAUUCUGAUACCAACACCAGCAAAGGACAGUACCAAAAGAGAGAACUAGAAGCCAAUAUCGCCUGUGAACAUAGAUGAAAAAUCCAGAACAAAAGAUUAGCACAUUGAAUCCAACAAUACACUAAAAACUCAUUCACCAUGAUCAAGUGGCAUUUAUUCCUGGGAGGUAAGGGUGGUCAUUAUUCGUAAAUCAAUCAGUGUGAUACAUCACAUCAGUAGGAGAAAGGAUAAAAACCAUAUGAUCAUUUCAAUAGAUGUAGAAAAAGCAUUUCACAAAGUACAACAUUCAUUUAUGAUAAAAACACUCAACGAAGUAGGUUUAAAGGGAACAUAACUCAAUAUAAUAAGGCCUUAUAUGAAAAACUCAGUUAACAUCGUACUCAGUGGGCGGAAACGGAGAGCUUUCCUCCCAAGGUCAGGAACAAGACAAGGAUAUCUACUCUCACUAUUUUUAUUCAACAUAGUGCUGGAAGUCCCACACUCAGCAGUCAGAAAAGAGAAAAAAAUAAAAAUCAGUUUGGUAAGAAGGAAGUCAAACUUGCAUUGUUUGCAGAUGACAUGAUACUAUAUAUAGAAAACCCUAACGACUCCAGGAAAACAAAACAAAACAAAACAAACCAGGGAAAUUGAACAAUAGAUUUGGUAAGUUCACAGGAUAAAAAAUCAAUGUACAGAAAUCUGUUGCAUUCCUAUACACUAAUAAUGAAGUAGCAGAAAGAGAAAUUAAGAAAAAAAAUGCCUUUCACAUUUGCACUAAAAAUAAUAAAAUCCUUAGGAAUAAACAAAAGAGGGAAAGACCUGUGCUCUAAAAAGUACAGAACGUUGAUGAAAGAAUUUACAGAUGACACAAAUGGAAAGAUAUUUCCUGCUCAUGGAUUAGAAGAACAAAUAUUGUUAAAAUGUCUACACUACCCAAGGCAAUUUGCAGAUUUAAUACGAUCUCUAUGAAAAGACCUAACAGUAUUAUUCACAGAACUAGAACCAACAAUCCAAAACUUGUUUGGAACCAGAUAAGACUCUGAAUAGCCAAAGCAGUCUUGAAAAAGGAAAACUGGAGGUGCCACAGUCUCCAAUAUUAAGUGCACCACAUGCUAUGGCAUGAAGAAAAUGGUUGCUGAGUGUCAAGUGUUCUGGAACUAUUUAGAGGUCAAUGGCCCUCUAAAAUACAGCACCUGUAAUCCUGGUUUGCAAGACAGAUGUGUUUAAAACAAAGUACAUUCAUAAAUCGUCUCUGUAGGGAUAGCUUAUUUUAUGCUAUGGAAAAGGGAAGGUACUAGAAUGUUGAAGAUUGCAUAACAGGUACCCAGUUUCCUUUGGGAUCGAGGGGAAAUGCAGAAUCAGUUAACUACUCAUUACUAUGCUUAGAAAAAAGCAGUAUUAGCUUUAAUCAAAAUCAUAUAACCAACCUUCUUUUCACAGAAUACCUAGUCCCAGGGCCAGCCAGUGUUUUGUUUCCCUAGUACAAGCCUCCGGUGCUUGCUGACUGAUGGGAUAGUGACAAUUACCAGUAAUAAGUUAAUUCAAUUCCAUCCAAUUCAAUCAGUAAUCGUGUACCAAUUACAUUGUGCAAGUACACUACUUGCAAUACAGUUUUCCUACGACUCAGUUCCUGUCCUGGGGGAGUCACAGUCUAGUAGGAGAAAUAAACAUAUGAUUAAUUAAGCAUACCAGUAGGAAAGAAAACACCACGAUGACCAUAGCAGCAACUUUCUAUAUCUGGAGUUAAUGCGCUCACAAAUGUAUACGCACAAGUUUAAAGCACUUCUUAAUUUUGAAACAUUUUUAAAUACCUUUUCUACUCCUGCAUCUCUCUUUAACCACUAUCUAGUGAUUUUGAAUUCCUCCAGUGAUUUUGAAUACUCUUCUGGAAACAGGAGUAUUGGUGCAUUUGUGUGACUAUCUUCUGGAGUUAAACUUGAUGGGACAAGGUGCUAGAUCUCCACUCAGGAGUUUCCUUUAACCAAAGAGCACUGAGCUUCAAAAUCUAAUCCGGGAUAUUCCCCUAUUCUUCCAGAGUUGUCCUUGUCCAGAAAAGCAUCAUCACAUUUCUAUCUUCUUGAACAUCAGCAUUGACAAGAGUGGCCUAUGAUGCAAUUAUGUUGGUCCCUGAGUGCCACAGGGUAAACCUCUCCAAAGCCAGUUAAAUUAAUCAAGAAGGCAAAAUGUUAAUAUGUCAAUAUGGUGACUAAGCAGGGGAAAUUCGUACCCUGAGCAUCAUCCCGUCUGCAAAACUGGGUCUGAUACAUGGAAUAGCGAUAUGAAACGGGACUUGAUUUGAGAGUAAUGUUGGAUGAUGUGUUAUAGCCUGAUCAAGUCAGCAAUUAAAUAUAAUCACAAGAGAGAGUUGUUUAAAAAUGUUUCUCUACUUCACUUUGGUGGAAUACAAUUCUCCAGAACACAUUCAGAAUUAAGAGGCGUGUAUUUAGCUUAAUUAACUAUUUAAUCACAUGUCAUCUACCUAUUAUUUCCACUCUCCAAUUUUCCAUAACACCCAGAAGAGUUGGCUAAUUUUUAACAUUUCUGUUGACUUUCUCCAAAUUGAACACUAUUGUUUUAUGCUUCUAUCCACCUUGUGGUUGUCACAAAAUCUCUUCCUCUCAUUACCUUCAGCUUUGCUGGGAAAACCAAGUGGAAUUAGCAAUCAAUCACAGCAUUUAGCAGCUCAGCUGGCCUGAAUGAAAAGCUCAGGACACAUCCAGCUCUUUUCAGAGUUUCCAUUCCUGGAUGACGGGUCCAGAGUUCUCUCAAUGUCUCGGCCAUGCCAUGUUCAUCUUCUGUGCAUUUGUAGAGGCUGUGGUUUCUUCAUCCCGUCUGCAUGGGCUUUCGUUGAGCACUCAUUCCAUGCU